GGACAGUCAUCGCCGAGUCCCCGUCAGGCGCGAGCCUGGGGAGCCGGGGACCCACACGCAGUCCCUGGGGUGAAUCGGGCGCCUUCGUCUCGUGCGGAGGGGCUCGUAGGAGACCUUCCUGCUCCGAACCCGUCAGCUAACCCGGUAGGCGAGAAGGAAGGAAAGG
rnacentral:sRNA from 1 species